GUUUAUAAAUGCAAAAGAUCCUACAUGAUGGAAGGGAAUGCAGAUGUAGUCUGCCUUUCAGGAGAAUGGACCUCAGCUCCCACAUGCAGUCCUGAGGCCUUACGGAGGUGUAGGGCCAACGAGUUUCAGUGCCGUAACAGAAGGUGUAUACCGACCACCUGGAGGUGCGACAAAGACAAUGACUGUUCCGACAACAGCGAUGAGGAAAACUGUGGUUACGAAAAUGUAGAUCCAUAAUGGGUUGUUCAUGAUGAAGAUGUGACUUACUGAAAGACCUGAGGAUGGAUGAUACCGUGUCCAUUUGUUCACAUAUCAAAAACAUAUGUGUAUUUUCUUAACAGGGCUAUGAACAGCAAAUCACUCGAAGAGA